rnacentral:rRNA from 1 species
UACGGAGGGUGCGAGCGUUGUCCGGAAUCAUUGGGCGUAAAGGGCGCGUAGGUGGUCUGAUAAGGGUGUGGUGAAAGCCCGGGGCUCAACCCCGGGUCGGCCGUGCCGACUGUUAGACUAGAGUGCUGUAGGGGCAGGCGGAAUUCCGGGUGUAGCGGUGGAAUGCGUAGAGAUCCGGAGGAAGACCGGUGGCGAAGGCGGCCUGCUGGGCAGUUACUGACACUGAGGCGCGACAGCGUGGGAGCAAACAGG